rnacentral:rRNA from 1 species
UACGGAGGGUGCGAGCGUUGUCCGGAAUCAUUGGGCGUAAAGCGCGCGUAGGUGGCUCUAUAAGUCCGUUGUGAAAGUCAAAGGCUCAACCUUUGAAAGCCGAUGGAUACUGUAGAGCUAGAGUCCGGAAGAGGCGAGUGGAAUUCCUGGUGUAGCGGUGAAAUGCGCAGAUAUCAGGAAGAACACCCGUGGCGAAAGCGGCUCUCUGGAACGGUACUGACGCUGAGACGCGAAAGCGUGGGGAGCGAACAGG